rnacentral:rRNA from 1 species
UAAGGAAUAUUGGGCAAUGGACGCAAGUCUGACCCAGCCAUGCCGCGUGCAGGAUGACGGCCCUACGGGUUGUAAACUGCUUUUGUACGGGAAAAAACCCUCGCUCGUGAGCGGGGCUGAUGGUACCGUAAGAAUAAGCAUCGGCUAACUCCGUGCCAGCAGCCGCGGUAAUACGGAGGAUGCAAGCGUUAUCCGGAUUCAUUGGGUUUAAAGGGUCCGCAGGCGGGAUAAUAAGUCAGAGGUGAAAUCCUACGGCUCAACUGUAGAACUGCCUUUGAUACUGUUAUUCUUGAGUACACUUGGAGUGGGCGGAAUGUGUCAUGUAGCGGUGAAAUGCUUAGAUAUGACACAGAACACCGAUCGCGAAGGCAGCUCACUAAGUUGUAACUGACGCUCAGGCACGAAAGCGUGGGGAUCAAACA